AGGCCUAGGUUUGCAGUCUGCAGAGCUAUCUACAGGGCUGGUCCGAGACCCCUGAAAAGAAACCGGAGAAGCCUGCUGACAAAAGACUGGAAUUCUGGUAUCUCUUUUGUUUUCACCCAAGUCUGUGGCCACUGACAUUCCUCUUUUCCACCACGGGUGGAUAAUAAGCCCCCUUCUCAGGAAUCGAAAUGCUCUUAUACAUUUUAAUGUGACCUUAGACAGCGCUGUUCAGAAAUCACAGGCCCAUCUGACUACACUUGAGGUUGAAUUGAGCUAAUGGUAUUCACCUCAUCUUUAGAUGCAAAAUUGGAAGAUAAAAAGACCUUGAUGUGAAAAGCAGGGGGGGAUGUGAGGGAGGGGAGGUGGACGGGUUGCGGGGGGCAGGAGGGGGGAAGCAGAUUAGAGAUACUGCUUAAAAAUCACGUGAUUGUGCAUUGAUAACGAAAUGUCUCCUCUUUCCCAAAUCCCCCAUGGGCUCGAGAGAUGUCCUUAUUCUUUUAUUUUUAACGAUAGAAUCUUUUUAUUCCUGAGCUGGGGAAAUUUGAAUGUUGCUGCAUAUGUGGCCAGGAGAUACAUUGACCUUUAGCAAAUCUUAUUUUAAAAAACCCAGAUUGAACAGUUAUUGCAAUAUUUCAGCCCUGUAAGAUGAAAAGAGAGAGAGAGAGAGAGGAGAGGAGAGAGAGAGCGCCUUCUUCCUCCGUAAUCAGAUGUGGAUUAAAUUUAUUAAAGAUGCUGUGUCUCCUUUUAAAUGACUGGCAACCCUCUUUCUGAAUUAUCAGGAGCUGGCUGGAGACAUGGCACCCUUCUGAUUUCAUCUUAAGAUGACAGAGAAAAGUCUAAAAUGGGAGAAAACUUGGUUCCUCUCUGUUGCUCUUUGGCUUAAACUUGGUUUUCAUCCAUUAAGCCAAAUGCAUUCAGGGCCCCAUGGUGAGGCCCAGAAGCGGGUGAGGGGAAAUGGGAGGGUGGGGGCACAGGGUGUGGUCAGAUCAGCUUCCCAGGAAAGAAGCUGGGAGGGAGCCCCUGCAGCUCACAUAAAAUGCGCAACCCCUAGAGACAGGCUCAUUUCCAGCUUUGACGUGCCUGCUGUCUGUCAAGGGCCCAGUGAAUGCUUCCCACCCCCAGGGCUCAGCCGCCUCCAGGACCCAGGGGCCCAUUGGGCAAUCCAUCACGGAGCACACCUGGCCUGCCCAAAGGACACAGCAGAUUUUUUACUCCUGAGGGCCUCAUUGAGGGAUGCUUUCCUCCAGAGAUUUCUGUCUAGUUCUGCUGUGAAUCAGGUGCACGGAAGACUUGAAGACAUAGCCAUCACCUUUGAGCAUCUCAUAUCUGCAAGGACUGCCAGGCUCAACUCCUCCACCUUGCUCUUUGUCCCAGGCUCAGGAUCCUAA
rnacentral:lncRNA from 1 species